rnacentral:misc_RNA from 1 species
AGAGAGAGAGAGAGAGAGAGAGAGAGAGAGAGAGAGAGAGAGAGAGAGAGAGAGAGAGAGACUGUACAUAUGUCUACACUACUUAAUCCAUGAAUCAGUAUUUCUAUUAAUACAAUAACUAUUACGCAUUUUAAUGAUAAAUAUUAGGAUUAUCAAGGUCACUGCAAUUUGACUAAACAGGCAAUACAUGAAUGUUGAUCGCCAUUUUUAAUUCAGUUGAAAUAUUUAAUCUUACAACGCAUGCUUUUUUUUUUUUUUUUGCUUUUUCCUUCACAGAUGUAAUUUUAGAAAUUUCUCCGAGUGAUUUCUCAAGGUCAUUAUCGUUGUUUGUUAUCACAAUAAAUAAUAAAUAUUAAUACAUGA